rnacentral:rRNA from 1 species
CCUACGGGAGGCAGCAGUGGGGAAUAUUGCUCAAUGGGGGAAACCCUGAAGCAGCGACGCCGCGUGAGUGAAGAAGGUAUUGGUUAUGUAAAGCCCUUUUAGCAGGGAAGAAAAUGACGGUACCUGACUAAGAAGCACCGGCUAAGUACGUGCCAGCAGCCGCGGUAAUACGUAGGGGGCAAGCGUUAUCCGGAUUUACUGGGCGUAAAGGGAGCGUAGUCGGGCGUGCAAGUCUGGAGUGAAAGGCGGGGGCUAAACCCCCGGACUGCCCUGGAAACUGGACGGCUGGAGUGCAGGAGAGGUAAGUGGAAUUCGUGGUGUAGCGGUGAAAUGCGUAGAUAUUAGGAGGAACACCAGUGGCGAAGGCGGCUUACUGGACCGUAACUGACGUUGAGGCUCGAAAGCGUGGGGAGCAAACAGGAUUAGAUACCCUUGUAGUC